GGACCCGCACAAGCGGUGGAACAUGUGGUUUAAUUCGAAGCAACGCGAAAAACCUUACCAGGGCUUGACAUCUGACGAACCUUUGUGAAAGCAGAGGGUGCUCUUCGGAGAACGUCAAGACAGGUGGUGCACGGUUGUCGUCAGCUCGUGUCGUGAGAUGUUGGGUUAAGUCCCGCAACGAGCGCAACCCUCGUUAUUAGUUGCUAAUGUCGGUAUACUGGCAUUGAGCUCUCUGAUAAGACUGCCGGUGAUAAACCGGAGGAAGGUGGGGACGACGUCAAAUCAUCAUGCCCCUUAUGCUCUGGGCUACACACGUGUUACAAUGGCUAGGACAACGAGCAGCCAACUCGCGAGAGUGAGCAAAUCUCUUAAACCUAGUCUCAGUUCGGAUCGUAGUCUGCAACUCGACUACGUGAAGUCGGAAUCGCUAGUAAACGCAGAUCAGCACGCUGCGUUGAAUACGUUCCCGGGUCUU
rnacentral:rRNA from 1 species